UACGAAGGGGGCUAGCGUUGCUCGGAAUCACUGGGCGUAAAGCGCACGUAGGCGGCUUUUUAAGUCAGGGGUGAAAUCCUGGAGCUCAACUCCAGAACUGCCUUUGAUACUGAGAAGCUCGAGUCCGGGAGAGGUGAGUGGAACUGCGAGUGUGGAGGUGAAAUUCGUAGAUAUUCGCAAGAACACCAGUGGCGAAGGCGGCUCACUGGCCCGGUACUGACGCUGAGGCUCGAAAGCGUGGGGAGCAAACAGG
rnacentral:rRNA from 1 species